ACACAGCCACAGCAUUUUGUGCUGACCAUAAGUAAUGCCUCAGUGCAUUUGAUAUUCCCUAGCAUCGCAUUAGGAUUAAAUCAUGAUGGACCCACUUUCUAUCCUUCUGAACAUAGAGAAUGGGCCCGUCAAAUUGAUGACAAAUGGCAAACUGUCUAUUUAGAGUCCUGUACUAUCCGAGAACAACUAGGGUUUUUCUGUGAAGGUAACGCAUUUAUAGCUCAAGAUAUCUGUUUAGACACAGAACAAAAUAGCUGUCAUUUUGAUAUUCAUCCUAACGAGACUUCUGAAACAGUCCUUGUAAAUACAGGCAAUGGGCGUGCCUGCUUCAGAACCGCUUGUGAUAGUGUGUUUAUAGAAAGUACAGUAGUAGCUACUAAAAAUCAGUCAAAUUAUUGUGCUUGCAACUUUACUAAAAUUGCAGGAUGUGAUUUUUCUUUUGUAGCUCCAGUUACCUUACAUGAACUUUUAGAAUCCAAUCUCAUGUUGAUUCACAAGCUACUGCCUACUCCCAUUAGGAUGAACCUUACUUUGGUAAAGCAACUAUUACUUCAUCAAGAUCUAGAGAUAGAGAUCCUAGGAAAAUAGAGAUCCUAGGAAAAAUCAAGGAGAAUGGACAGAAAACUCUGGUAACUGUUCAUCAUGAUGUGCAAGAAAUACAUCGUGUUGUAGAAAGGGUGGAAAGUGAUGCCGAGCACAAGUGGUGGGAUACCCUUUUCGGGUGGUCACCCACCGCCACCGGUAUCCUGAACAAAUUGUGCCAUCCCGUUGUUGUUCUUCUGAUUUUAGUUAUGAUUGGUUUUGUUUUAUCAGUAAUCUUGCUUAUUGUAAAUUGGAGAAUGAUGAAACGAUGAACAAAAUUAACAUCUAUAAUUAAUGCACAGCACUUGGCCGACAUCCUUUACACUAUAGAUGUUCCCAGGACUGUAGACACAAGAAGAUUAUAGGUUUUCCUGUUUUCUCUUUCCUUUCCUUUUUCUCUUCCCUUUUCCCUGGAAUGUGCUGCCAACACUUGACGAGUCCUGAAGACUCCACGACGACACCAUGGAACCCUGCUGAUGAAGGUCUUUCGAGGGCAAUCGUCAGUCACGGGGUGGUGUAAGAGCCCGUCUGAAGCCCCUCAUUUUCCAUUCUGCCUUCCGAUUGCCACGAGAAAGAAUCCCUUCCUCCACUGCAGUUCCGGCUUAGAACAGGACACAGUGCAGGUGCAACCACUGAACCGUCAUGCUAGCUGUUCCGAACAAGGCCUGGCAAGAACUUGGCAAGGACUUGGCAAGGACCUGACGUGGACCCAGCACGGGACAGCCUGAUGCGCGGCCUGCUUCUAAUCUCCGUUCUUAAGCCAAAUGAACUUUUGGGGUGACUCCCGGGGUCCUUCAUUGAAGACCCCUCAUCUGCCUCGUUACCACUGUGACAAACAAAGAAUGAGAACCCUCCUCCCAAGGACUGAGACUGAGACCCCUGCUAUAGGGAGGAGGGGAAAUUGGUGGUCUGACCACUAAUGACAUGACCUGUUUCCCUUCAGUGAUUCAAAUGGACUCAUUCUUCAUUGGAUUCGUCUUGCUUUGGUGGUUUCUGUGGACUCAGCUGUUCCCGCGUGGCGAUUACAAUGGACUUUCGUUGUUCCACUUGCUCCCCCCUCUUUCCUCUGUGGACUAUAACUGGAGCCCCGAGUCGACCAGAACUUCGGAGACUCCCCCGACACGACAGACGGAACCCCAUCGUCCGGACCACUGAGGAUCUCGCCUGUGUUGGUAGCUAUUCCCAUACCCCUCUUCUCUCUCUCUCUCUCCUUUUAUCUCCUUUCCGAUCCCCACUAUCGCAUUUACUGGUUUGGCCCCUAAUAAAGGUGCAUUUGUUGUGAUUAA